rnacentral:rRNA from 1 species
GUCUGAUUUAUUGCCUAUGUUGUUUUAUAUUUUUGGUUUUGUUAUUUAAUUUAUUGAAAUAUCAUUGAUUGUUAUUGUAUUAUUAUUAGAUAAAAUUGUUUGAACGAUAGAGUACUUGUACUGUGGGGGAUUUAAUGUUUAAUUUAAGGAAGCUGAUUUUAUUUGUUGUACCUUGUGUAUCAGGGUUUAUUGAAUUUUAUUAUGUAUUUUUAUUUCCCGAUUCUGAAGGAGUUAAUAAUUUAUGUUAGUUACUGUUUUAUUAGUAUUAAUAAUAGGUUAUUGGUAGUGAAAUGUUAUUCGUCUUCAGUGGUUUCUGGUUUUCCGAGAAAUGAAUUUAAUUCAUACACUUUAUUUAGGUUUUAUUUUUAGUUUAUUAGCUUUGAUGGGGUGUAAAAAUUAAGGGGGAUUAGCUCCUUAUUUUAUUUUUAUAAUUUUUUAUUGUAUUUAGUUUUGUGGAUUUUAUAGUGAUUUUCAAUUUGAUUAUGUUAAAGUUUUAUUUAUUCUUUUGUUUAUUUUGUUUUAGUUUAAUUUUUUAUUGGAAUGUUUUCUUUAUUUUGUUUUGGAUGGUGAUUAUUGUGGAAUUAGUAAAUUGUUAUUUUAUGGUGUUUUGGUUAAUGAGAAUUUCUUUUGAGGAAUUCGGCAAAUAUUGUGUCCGCCUGUUUAACAAAAACAUCUUUUCUUGUUAGUUUUUGAAGUAUGGCCUGCCCACUGACGUGAGAUUGGUUGAAGGGCCGCGGUAUUUUGACCGUGCAAAGGUAGCAUAAUCAUUAGUUCUUUAAUUGUGAUCUAGUAUGAAUGGCUUGACGAGACAUAAGCUGUCUUAAGGUUUAGAAUUGAUUUGUUGAAUUUGGUUUUUGAGUUAAAAUUCUUAGAUGUUUUUAUGGGACGAGAAGACCCUAUAGAGUUUGACAUUUAUUUCGUAUUUGUUUGAUUGUUGUGUUAUUGUUCUUUGAGUGCGAUGUUGAGUGUUUUGUUGGGGUGAUGGGAGGAAUGUUUUUAACUCCUCUUAAAUAAUGAAUAUUUAUUUAUAUUUUUUUGAUCCAUUUAUUUUGAUUGUAAGAUUAAAUUACCUUAGGGAUAACAGCGUUAUCCUCCUUGAGAGUUCUUAUUGGCGGGAGGGUUUGCGACCUCGAUGUUGGAUUAAGGUUAAUUUUUGGUGUAGGAGCUGAAAUUAUUAGGUCUGUUCGACCUUCAAAAUCUUACAUGAUCUGAGUUCAGACCGGCGUGAGCCAGGUUGGUUUCUAUCUAUAACGAGUUUUUAUACUUUAGUACGAGAGGACCGAGUAUUUGGAAUAAUUUUGUUUUGUUGGAUUUUAUUAAAGUGUUGGCUAUUUUGGCAGAUAAGUGCAUUGGAUUUAGAAUCUAUUAA